rnacentral:rRNA from 1 species
GACGAACGCUGGCGGCGUGCUUAACACAUGCAAGUCGAACGGAAAGGCCCUGCUUGCAGGGUACUCGAGUGGCGAACGGGUGAGUAACACGUGGGUGAUCUGCCCUGCACUUCGGGAUAAGCCUGGGAAACUGGGUCUAAUACCGGAUAGGAGCCAUUUUUAGUGUGAUGGUUGGAAAGUUUUUUCGGUGUAGGAUGAGCUCGCGGCCUAUCAGCUUGUUGGUGGGGUAAUGGCCUACCAAGGCGGCGACGGGUAGCCGGCCUGAGAGGGUGGACGGCCACAUUGGGACUGAGAUACGGCCCAGACUCCUACGGGAGGCAGCAGUGGGGAAUAUUGCACAAUGGGCGCAAGCCGGAUGCAGCGACGCCGCGUGGGGGAGGACGGCCUUCGGGUUGUAAACGCCUUUCGCUAGGGACGAAGCUUUUUGUGACGGUACCUAGAGAAGAAGCACCGGCUAACUACGUG